GAUGAACGCUGGCGGCGUGCUUAACACAUGCAAGUCGAACGGAAAGGCCCAAGCUUGCUUGGGUACUCGAGUGGCGAACGGGUGAGUAACACGUGGGUGAUCUGCCCUGCACUUCGGGAUAAGCCUGGGAAACUGGGUCUAAUACCGGAUAGGACGAUGGUUUGGAUGCCAUUGUGGAAAGUGUUUUCGGUGUGGGAUGAGCUCGCGGCCUAUCAGCUUGUUGGUGGGGUAAUGGCCUACCAAGGCGUCGACGGGUAGCCGGCCUGAGAGGGUGUACGGCCACAUUGGGACUGAGAUACGGCCCAGACUCCUACGGGAGGCAGCAGUGGGGAAUAUUGCACAAUGGGCGCAAGCCUGAUGCAGCGACGCCGCGUGGGGGAUGACGGCCUUCGGGUUGUAAACUCCUUUCGCUAGGGACGAAGCGUUUUUGUGACGGUACCUGGAGAAGAAGCACCGGCUAACUACGUG
rnacentral:rRNA from 1 species